AACUCCGCGAAAGCGGAGCUAAUACCGCAUGGUCUCCCCGGUUUACGAACUGGGGAGUAAAGCAGUAAUGCGCCCGGGGAUCGGUUCACCUCCCAUUAGCUUGUUGGUGGGGUAAUGGCCCACCAAGGCUGCGAUGGGUAGCUGGUCUGAGAGGAUGGUCAGCCACACUGGGACUGAGAUACGGCCCAGACUCCUACGGGGGGCAGCAGUCUAGAGGCUUUGACAAUGCCCGAAAGGGUGAUCAAGCGACGCCGCGUGCGGGAUGAAGGGCUUCGGCUUGUAAACCGCUUUUGUUUGGGACGAAGGCCUGUGUCGUGAACAUGGGAUUGACGGUACCAGACGAAUAAGCCCCGGCUAACUCCGUGCCAGCAGCCGCGGUAAGACGGAGGGGGCAAGCGUUGUUCGGAAUUAUUGGGCGUAAAGGGCUCGUAGGCGGAUCCGCCAGUUUGACGUGAAAUCUCCACCGCUCACCGGGGAGGGGCCGUUGAAUACUACGGAUCUGGAGUUCGGCAGAGGACCAUGGAAUUUCGGGUGUAGCGGUGGAAUGCGUAGAUAUCCGAAAGAACACCGGUGGCGAAGGCGGUGGUCUGGGCCUGAACUGACGCUGAGGAGCGAAAGCCAGGGGAGCAAACGGGAUAGAUACCCCGGUAGUCCUGGCCGUAAACGUGAAUA
rnacentral:rRNA from 1 species